GAUGGCGGACUCGGUGGCCAGCCGAUGAGGAGGCCGCGGGGGGAACCCGGCCCCCGGGCCCCGAGACCGACUGAGGGAGCGACCUGCGCAGGGCCCGGGGAGUCAUGGUCUCCAUCACCCAACUCCAUGCUUCGAGUCCUGCUCUCUGCUCAGACCUCCCCUGCUCGGCUGUCUGGCCUGCUGCUGAUCCCUCCAGUACAGCCCUGCUGUUUGGGACCCAGCAAAUGGGGGGACCGGCCUCUUGGAGGAGGCCCCAGUGCAGGUCCUGUGCAAGGACUGCAGCGGCUUCUGGAACAGGCGAAGAGCCCUGGGGAGCUGCUGCGCUGGCUGGGCCAGAACCCCAGCAAGGUGCGCGCCCACCACUACUCGGUGGCGCUUCGUCGUCUGGGCCAGCUCUUGGGGUCUCGGCCACGGCCCCCUCCUGUGGAGCAGGUCACACUGCAGGACUUGAGUCAGCUCAUCAUCCGAAACUGCCCCUCCUUUGACAUUCACACCAUCCACGUGUGUCUGCACCUUGCAGUCUUACUUGGCUUUCCAUCUGAUGGUCCCCUGGUGUGUGCCCUGGAACAGGAGCGAAGGCUCCGCGUCCCUCCGAAGCCACCUCCCCCUUUGCAGCCCCUUCUCCGAGGUGGGCAAGGGUUGGAAGCUGCUCUAAGCUGCCCCCGUUUUCUGCGGUAUCCACGGCAGCAUCUGAUCAGCAGCCUGGCAGAGGCAAGGCCAGAGGAACUGACUCCCCACGUGAUGGUGCUCCUGGCCCAGCACCUGGCCCGGCACCGGUUGCGGGAGCCCCAGCUUCUGGAAGCCAUUGCCCACUUCCUGGUGGUUCAGGAAACCCAGCUCAGCAGCAAGGUGGUACAGAAGUUGGUCCUGCCCUUUGGGCGGCUGAACUACCUGCCCCUGGAACAGCAGUUUAUGCCCUGCCUUGAGAGGAUCCUGGCUCGGGAAGCAGGGGUGGCACCCCUGGCUACAGUCAACAUCUUGAUGUCACUGUGCCAACUGCGGUGCCUGCCCUUCAGAGCCCUGCACUUUGUUUUUUCCCCUGGCUUCAUCAACUACAUCAGUGGCACCCCUCAUGCUCUGAUUGUGCGUCGCUACCUCUCCCUGCUGGACACGGCCGUGGAGCUGGAGCUCCCAGGAUACCGGGGUCCCCGCCUUCCCCGAAGGCAGCAAGUGCCCAUCUUUCCCCAGCCUCUCAUCACCGACCGUGCCCGCUGCAAGUACAGUCACAAGGACAUAGUAGCUGAGGGGUUGCGCCAGCUGCUGGGGGAGGAGAAAUACCGCCAGGACCUGACUGUGCCUCCAGGCUACUGCACAGGUGAGCAAGGGGCAGGCGGCAGGCCCAGGGAGACGGAGCCCUGGCUAAGGCCGCCGGCCCUGCUCCCCCUCCAGACUUCCUGCUGUGCGUCAGCAGCUCUGGUGCUGUGCUUCCCGUGAGGACCCAGGACCCCUUCCUGCCAUACCCACCAAGGUCCUGCCCACAGGGCCAGGCCGCCUCUAGCCCCACUACUCGAGACCCUGCCCAGAGGUAAGGGAGGCAGGGUGGGGGAGCCCUGGCCACCUUGCCCGCCAUGCCCUGAGCCACAUCCCUCCCCCUGCAGGGUGGUGCUGGUGUUGCGGGAACGCUGGCAUUUCUGCCGGGACGGCAGGGUGCUGCUGGGCUCGAGAGCCCUGAGGGAGCGGCACCUAGGCCUGAUGGGCUACCAGCUCCUGCCGGUGAGUGGCCCUGGCCUGGCCCGUGGCGUAUCCUCACUCCGGGCCUGCGGGUAACCUGCCGCCAUCUCCUCUCCCCACAGCUACCCUUCGAGGAACUGGAGUCCCAGAGAGGCCUGCCCCAGCUCAAGAGCUACCUGAGGCAGAAGCUCCAGGCCCUGGGCCUGCGCUGGGGGCCUGAAGGGGGCUGAGGGGAUGAUGUGGGGUUCAGGAUGGCCCCCCCAUGGGGGGUGGAUGAUUUGCACUUUGGUUCCCUAUGUUUUGAUUUCU
rnacentral:sRNA from 1 species